UGCAUCAAUCUUAUCGGAUCAACACUAUCUCCAUGAUGAUCCUAUGAUCAGAAGUAAUUUAGAAAUUGACCAUCAAUAAUACAUAUCUCAAAUUUUCAACUCUUGAGAAUAUAUGUUAUCAUCUCGUUAAUUUGCUGGAUGAUUCAUAGACAUAUACACUACAUGAAUAGAAUUAACUAUCCUAAUUAAUUAAGUCAAGUACAAAAUUAUAUCCUAAGCGGUCAACUCCUGCAAGCUAGGCUAACAAGUCGACAACACACCUGAAUAGCUAGCUCUGUUCGAUCAGAAGAUGAUUGUUAGCUGAUUACUUUCGACCG
rnacentral:lncRNA from 1 species